GGUGGAAUUUGAUUAGUUUAGAACAUAAUAACAUGAACAUUUGGGGAUAGAGGAUUGAUUGGUAGAUAGAAUAGUACAACAUUGCCUAAUACAUUAACACAUAUAUCUACACACAUAUGUAUUUGGUCAUAUAAUACGAUAGAUAUAUAUAUGUGUGUGUGUGAGAGUAAUCACGCUGAAGCUGCAUAGGGAAUGGGAAGAGAUUUGGGAUGAAUUAUAACAUUAUUGAAAGGCCUUGGAGGAGAUCUAAGCAGCCCUGGGAUUGGUCCGGGUGAAUAGCCGGGAACCGGAGGUGGCGGUGAGUGGUGGCGCGGUGGAGAGUGUGGAGGAGAUCUUUUUAAGAGUCCUGGAUAAUAGCUAGUAGGAAGAGGUGGAUGUAUAUGUCUUCCCUCUGAACCUGCACCCUUCAUAAACCACCACCUGCUCCAUUUCUCUGCUUAACCAAUAUAUAUAUAUAUAUACACACACACAAUACGACACGUUAGAUCGAUAUAGAUUGACGCAAAUCAUGUUCGUCGUGCUGCCCCUCCUAUAUAUAUCAUCUAUUAAAUUGAUCACUAUGUACCCAAAAAGUUUUAAUUUACACACACUAACGCAUGCAUGCUACACCUAAGAAAAGAUACUCAUGUUGAGUUUUGAUCAUAUAUUGAAGAAGAUGGAAGCAAGAUUUAAUUUCAACAUCUCACAAUCGAAUGUAAAGAUCUUUACCAGUGGAACUAAUAAAUUAAAUAAUACCUUCGCAUAAAUCAAAGUUUGUUAAUUAACCAAGCUUUUCACCAAAAUAAAUGAAAAGAAAAUUACCCAACGUCAAAAGACUUCUAGCUUCUGUGGCAGCUGGAGCAAACAAAAAGACAUGGAGAGAGAGAGAAAAUAAAAAGACAUGGAGAGUCUUCAUCUUCUUCUUCUGCUAAUUGAGUUGAUUAUACAUGAUGUUCC
rnacentral:lncRNA from 1 species